rnacentral:tRNA from 1 species
AUGUGGUGCAAGUGGUAGUGCACUCGCCUAGCAUGCAUGAGGCACUGGGUUCAAUUCGCAGCACCACAUA